CGGCCGCAAGGCUAAAACUCAAAGGAAUUGACGGGGGCCCGCACAAGCGGCGGAGCAUGCGGAUUAAUUCGAUGCAACGCGAAGAACCUUACCAAGGCUUGACAUGAACCGGUAAUACCUAGAAACAGGUGCCCCGCUUGCGGUCGGUUUACAGGUGGUGCAUGGUUGUCGUCAGCUCGUGUCGUGAGAUGUUGGGUUAAGUCCCGCAACGAGCGCAACCCUCGUUCUAUGUUGCCAGCGCGUUAUGGCGGGGACUCAUAGGAGACUGCCGGGGUCAACUCGGAGGAAGGUGGGGACGACGUCAAAUCAUCAUGCCCCUUAUGUCUUGGGCUUCACGCAUGCUACAAUGGCCGGUACAAAGGGUUGCGAUACUGUGAGGUGGAGCUAAUCCCAAAAAGCCGGUCUCAGUUCGGAUUGGGGUCUGCAACUCGACCCCAUGAAGUCGGAGUCGCUAGUAAUCGCAGAUCAGCAACGCUACGGUGAAUACGUUCCCGGGCCUUGUACACACCGCCCGUCAAGUCACGAAAGUUGGUAACACCCGAAGCCGGUGGCCUAACCCUUGUGGGGGGAGCCGUCGAAGGUGGGACCGGCGAUUGGGACUAAGUCGUAACAAGGUAGCCGUACCGGAAGGUGCGGCUGGAUCACCUCCU
rnacentral:rRNA from 1 species